GCCCUAGUGCACUCUGGGAAAUGUAGUAAGGAGAAACUGACGAACUGAUAAACGUAGAUCCAAAAUAGCUGGGCUUCUGAGGUAAAGAACUCUAAAUAUAGAACGUGAAAUUAAUACACAUACCAUGUGUAUUCCAUCAUUAUAACAUUCACUGGACGUGUCUGUCAAGUUUUAAGCAUCCAGACACCUGCUUGAGCUAACCUGCGUGCAGUGGAGCGGAGGAGCGAGCCAAGCGCCUUUGCGUCGUUAAGACAAUCUACGGUGGCCGCGUAGUCCAAGUCUAACAAAAAUCGUUAUUCUGAGAUGCAUUUCGAAAAGUUGAAAGUCUUGGAGGACCACAGUGUCAGAUGAGCCCUACCCCUCCUAGGCCAAGGGAUAUAUAAAAGGCUGGCCGACAGAAGUCAAGGUCUUUUGUUUUGGUCUAACAUUAAGGAGAGCUGGAAAGUUAGACUGCUGCAGAGACGCACUCCACUGAAGCAGUUAAUGAAUUGUUAAUGGAAGUUGUGUAUCCACACCCUGACAUGUUGAUCACACAACAGCUGGACCCUGGACAUGCUAGAGCACCACAGCUGCUCAUCUGCUCAACCCUGGGACCUUUGAAUUGGUGCUUUCUGUAACGAUCUACCACCAAACUCCUGCUCACUCUUACGUCAUCUGAAGAAGAGAACAGUACCAUAACUGACUACUACACUCAUCUCGGUUGUCUGGGCCUCCUGAAAGAGACUGGAUUUGUAUGAUGAAAGGUUCUUUAAUACAAAGUAUAAAUUAAUUAUUUGUGUUGUGAUUAAUGUGUGGUAUUUUACUUAUUUUGUUGCCACUGUCGCAGAAUAUUCAAUUUACAGGCAGACAACUUUUAGAAAUUGUAAUUCCCAGGAAUGAACCUGGUCUAUGUGAGGAGCUACUACUCCCACAUCUAGACACACUCUCCAAGACAUUCACUUGCGAUUCUCUACAUUUUACAUGUUCAUCAGCAUAUGCAAGUAAUAAUUUUAUUGUAUUCUGUACAUGCAACAAUAAUGACCUGGUAAACCUACUUCUCUUGCAAUCAGUUCUGGCUCCCCUUUAAUCCUGAACUGAAUUAUACAAGCCUGAGAAUGUUAUAAGCUUUAAAAAAUUAUGCACUAGAAACCACUAAAGAUGAAGAAAAGGAUAAAUAUAGAUGGCUAAAAGUAGGUUCUCUUAAGGUACACAUUUCAUCUUGCAUUCCAACAGCUUAAAAUGUAAGGUUCAUCAAUUCUAAAAUAUGUGCCAUGGCCUUCUUUGCACUUAAUAUUGCUAAUUACGAAUUAGAGAAGGUAGGAUCAGAAAGUUUACAGAUGGUUCCCAGUCAAAGUUGCAAAAUAAAGAAAAUAUAUGCCACCAAUAUUGUAACAACUCAAAAUAAUUUACGAGAUCA